CAACGAGGAUUUGAACUAAAGUCUGUCUGAAUCAGUGGCCAGUGAUAUUUUUUUCUGCUAAGCAACAACAAAUGGCAAGGUUAUGCUAGAAAAAAAUACAUAUUUGAUCUCCUUCCCUUUCUGUGCCUUGUGCAGUUGAAACUAAUUUUGACUGCCUUGGCUUCUCUAUCUAUAGGAAGGCUAUCUUUCUAAGAUACAGAUAGAAAAUGAUUGAGAAAAAAUAGGUUGGUUAAUGGGUCUUUUUAUGCCUUAUUAAUUUUCCAUCUUCAUAAU
rnacentral:lncRNA from 1 species